CACACACACUCUAAGAAGUGGGAAAAAUCUUGUAUGCCAUAUGCAUGUGGUUUGUGAGGACAGCAGCUUGAUUAGUUUGAGAGCUACAUGAAGCAUUGUUUUAGUCUUACAUUGCAGCUUUUGCAUAUGGUUCCCAUAACAGUUCAAAGAAAAGUUUUAUUGAUAUUGGCAUUUUGUUUACCUUGUUUUUGAAUUUUAUUUUGAUAAAGAGUUGAAUUUAUUGUAAAUUGAUUUAUUUCUUAGCUGUUAGUGAGGAAGCAGCCAGGAGAGCAGUGCAGGAGAUUCAGCACAGACAGAACCAGGAUAAAGAGUCUUCGCCCAUAUUAACACCCUCAUCUAAUCAGAAUAUUAGGGUAGCUACCACCCAGUCAGAACCUACAGCUUUAUUGUCUGUUGCAACAUCCACUAGUGAAUCACCACCUGCUCAAGCCACUAAGAAUGUGAAAAGCUUGUUCAUCCAUGGGGUUGACUUACAUGAAGACGUAACACAAGCUGUAGAUGCCCUGCGUGAGAAGUUGACAUGGGCAAGUAAACAGCUAAAUGCUACAACAAGCAUUCAUGAGGCACAGACACUCGCAGCAUUGAUUUCAGAUACCUGUAGGGCUAUUUCUGCUCUAAGAGAUCUUUAAUGAGUGAGAAGAUAACAAAUAUGUUGCUUUGUUUUAAAAGCCUUUAAUCUCUGCUAGACUUAUAUUAUUUUUGUGCUCAAUUUAAUUCCUCUUUUUGGAACUAUUAAUUUCAAGGACUAUUUUUCGCUGACAAUUAUAAAACAUUGUAUUGUUUCCAGGUCAUCUCUUUAAGAAUAAUAACUUUACUGCAGUUGAAAAACACACCAUAUAAUCUGGGCAGAUAUUACAUAACACGUCAUUUAUUCAUAAAGUGGCACCAUUACACAAAGUCAGCAUAACUUAGGUUUUCCUUGAGACACCCAAGCAUGUCAAGUAGUGCUUAUAUAGGCUGUGAUACUAGCCUAACUUAUGAAUAUGCUGUAUGUGACAUCUGUGAAUAUAAUAAAUUGAAUUAUGUUUA